GAUUAACGCUGGCGGCGUGCCUAACACAUGCAAGUCGAGCGGCAGCGAGUUUUACACUGAAUUCUGGAAGCUUCUAGUUGAAAGAGAAGAUUUAUUCAAGAAUUUUGUGUAAAAUGUCGGCGAGCGGCGGACGGCUGAGUAACGCGUGGGAACGUACCCCAAAGUGAGGGAUAACGCAUCGAAAGGUGUGAUAAUACCGCAUAUGGUCUUCGGAUUAAAGCCUUCGGGCGCUUUGGGAACGGCCUGCGUAAGAUUAGAUAGUUGGUGGGGUAAUGGCCUACCAAGUCGACGAUCUUUAACUGGUUUGAGAGGAUGAUCAGUCAGACUGGAACUGAGACACGGUCCAGACUCCUACGGGAGGCAGCAGUGAGGAAUCUUCCACAAUGGGCGAAAGCCUGAUGGAGCAACGCCGCGUGCAGGAUGAAGGCCUUCGGGUUGUAAACUGCUUUUAUAAGUGAGGAUUAUGACAGUAACUGAUGAAUAAGGAUCGGCUAACUACGCG
rnacentral:rRNA from 1 species